AAAGGGAGACCUAAUUCGAGACAGGGCGAAAAAACAGUAGCCCAGUCUUCUGAAUCAAUCCCAAAAGGUCGGAACGAGGUAUGAGGCUUUCAAACUAGGUUCUGGGUUCAUAUAAAGACCUGAAUCAGGAACAAGGGCUAUUAGCUCAGGUGGUUAGAGCGCACCCCUGAUAAGGGUGAGGUCCCUGGUUCGAGUCCAGGAUGGCCCACCUGCACAGGUGGCAAAAAAAGAAAAGAAGCGAGGAAUCAGCACCUUAUCCUAUCUAUAUAUAAGAGAGAAUGCUGGCUCUGAGUACAGAGUCCAGAGGAACCUUGAAAACUGCAUAGAGCUAGGUGAAAAAGCCAAAAAAGAAGACCGCAAG
rnacentral:tRNA from 1 species